rnacentral:lncRNA from 1 species
GCCGCUCGGUCGUGGGCUAGCGCGCAGUCUCUUUGGUUCCCCCUGUGGCUGCUGCGGGGCUGCGGGGCUGCGGGGCUGCGGGGCUGCGGGGCUGCGGGGCUGCGGGGCUGCGGGGCUGCGGGGCUGCGGGGCUGCCGGGCUGCGGGCGGUGGGAGAUGACGGGGGUGGGAGCAGGAGCGGGAGCAGGGGCGGGAGCGGGAGCGGGAGUGGGAGUGCUCAGUCUCUCGGGUCGCCUGGAUAUUUAUGAAAAGGACGCCAGGGAAAGGGCUCCGCUGUAGACCGAAGGGAUAAGGGUUCGAUUCAGAAGGGAGCGUUAUUUUUAUCCCCUCUCCACAUAAUGGAACGUUUAAAUGGUUAAAUCAAGUACCUUGCAGGAGAGGGUGGGGUGGCCUUGAGAAUACACUCAAGGCCUCAGUACAUGCAGUCUGGAAGUGGGGGAAUCAAGAGCACCCUGUCUCUAGUACUGUCCUCAAUGAUAAGGCGCUGAGGUUCCCAACCUGGACCAAGAAGUACAUAUUCAGGUUCAAAGGAUAAACCAAAACAAAACCUGAGCUCUCUCUCUAGAAUGAAGUGCCUGGUCCCAGUUCACCAUCUAAUAUUUAUGGAAAGCUUAUCAGAGAACAGAAGUGUCAGCAGAGGACUGUAAGUGCUAUGUGAUUGGACGACGGUGGCCAUAGAAUUUCACCUGCCCAGCACGUAUUCUCUCAUCCUCUCCUCCUCUGCCUUCUUUGGGAGGGAGAAAUCAGAAGGAGUGGGGAUGCAGUUCAGAGAGCAGAGGAGAAGAGAAGAAAAGAAGGAAGAAGGAAGAGGACUAGGGUUGGGUGGGGGGGGAGGACACCAAUGGGAAGAGGGACAGAUCAACUCUAUACACAAAAGUAAAUCAAAACACCAAAAACAGGGGUCUAUGUAAAGAAGCCUCUUCCCGUGAAUUGCUCGUUGCAUAGCUGCAGGGAGGGUGUUUAGGGGCAUAGAGAAUGAAAA